rnacentral:rRNA from 1 species
GAUGAACGCUGGCGGCGUGCCUCAUACAUGCAAGUCGAGCGAACAGACGAGGAGCGUGCUCCUCUGACGUUAGCGGCGGACGGGUGAGUAACACGUGGAUAACCUAUCUAUAAGACUGGGAUAACUUCGGGAAACCGGAGCUAAUACCGGAUAAUAUAUUGAACGGCAUGGUUCAUGAGUGAAAGACGUUUUUGCCGUCACUUAUAGAUGUAUCCGCGCCGCAUUAGCUCGUUGGUAAGGUAACGGCUUACCAAGGCAACGAUGCGUAGCCGCCCUGAGAGGAUGCACCGCCACCCUGGAGCUGCGACGCGGUCCCGGCUCCUACGGGGGGCAACAGUAGGGACUCUUCCCCCACGGUGGGAAGCCUGACGCAGCCACGCCGCGUGACUGGUACAGGUCUUCGGAUCGUCUGACUCUGUCAUUCGGGGAGUGCGUAUGACUAAGUCACUCUGCACGACUUGAGGGUCCCUAAUCAGAGAGACACGGCUCUCAUAGUC